GUGCAGCAGUCGCGAAAACUCUGCAAUACACGAAAGUGUGACAGGGCUACCCCGAGUGCCGUCCGCUGAGGAUGGCUUUUAUCCAGUCUAGAUAGCUGGAUGAAUAAGGAGAGGGCAAGUCUGGUGUCAGCCGCCGCGGUAAUACCAGCUCUCCGAGUGGUGGGGAUGAUUAUUGGGCCUAAAGCAUCCGUAGCCGGCUAGGCAAGUCCCCUGUUAAAUCCACCGAUUUAAUCGGUGGAUUGCGGGGUAUACUGCUCGGCUAGGGGACGGGAGAGGUCGACGGUAUUUCCGGGGUAGGGGUGAAAUCCUAUAAUCCCGGAAAGACCACCAGUGGCGAAGGCUGUCGGCUAGAACGCGCCCGACGGUGAGGGAUGAAAGCUGGGGGAGCGAACCGGAUUAGAUACCCGGGUAGUCC
rnacentral:rRNA from 1 species